GAUGAACGCUAGCGGCAGGCCUAACACAUGCAAGUCGAGGGAGAAGCUCUUUCGGGGGCAGAAACCGGCGCACGGGUGCGUAACGCGUAUGCAACCUACCUUUCACAGGGGGAUAGCCCGAAGAAAUUUGGAUUAAUACCCCAUAAUAUUAUUGGAUGGCAUCAUUUGAUAAUUAAAACUGCGGUGGUGAAAGAUGGGCAUGCGUCCUAUUAGCUAGUUGGAGUGGUAACGGCACCCCAAGGCUACGAUAGGUAGGGGUCCUGAGAGGGAGAUCCCCCACACUGGUACUGAGACAGGGACCAGACUCCUACGGGAGGCAGCAGUGAGGAAUAUUGGUCAAUGGUCGGAAGACUGAACCAGCCAUGCCGCGUGCAGGAAGAAUGCCUUAUGGGUUGUAAACUGCUUUUAUAUGGGAAGAAUAAGGCGUACGUGUACGUUGAUGACGGUACCAUAUGAAUAAGCAUCGGCUAACUCCGUG
rnacentral:rRNA from 1 species